rfam:Triticum aestivum genome assembly, contig: Triticum_aestivum_CS42_TGACv1_scaffold_131110_2BL
CAUAUACUCCCUCCGUCCGGAAAUACUUGUCAUCAAAAUGUAUAAAAGGGGAUACAUCUAGACGUGUUUUAGUUCUAGAUACAUCUCUUUUUAUCUAUUUUGAUGACAAGUAUUUUCGGACGGAGGGAGUAGCAA